rnacentral:lncRNA from 1 species
UUUUACUUAAGGUGUCCUUGGUGCUGAAAUAAUUAAUUUCUGUAUAAACUUUAUCAGGAUUUUGGUUUUCAACACUGUGCCAUGAUACUCUUUAUCUUCACAGUUUGGAAACCUUUAUCAUUUGAAACACUUUUACAAGAUUUAGCAAAUACAGAAAAUAUUUCAAUUUUAUUUGCCAAGAACAAAUCCAAUGUAAGCUUUUGAAAACUUAGUGAUGGAAACAACAUCUUUAGAUUUAAAAAUUGAUUUUUGUUUGUUUCCUUAGUUAGCAUGCAUAGCAAACUUUGACCUUUCAGAAGAUAAUCUAAGUAAGCCAAUGGCAAGGUCUUUUGAGAUUAAGUACAUACUAGCAUGAGUUGAUUUUAUAUGCCAAAGAUGGUUUCUUUAAUCUUGGUAUU